GUUCUACAUUGGUGUCCUGGAUAUUGCUGGCUUUGAAAUCUUUGACUUCAACACCUUGGAACAGCUGUGCAUCAACUUCACCAAUGAGAAAC